UUGGGUUAAGUCCCGCAACGAGCGCAACCCUUGUUCCUAGUUGCCAGCAUUGAGUUGGGCACUCUAGGGAGACUGCCGGUGACAAACCGGAGGAAGGUGAGGAUGACGUCAAGUCAGCAUGCCCCUUACGCCCUGGGCUACACACGUGCUACAAUGGCGCGGACAAAGGGUCGCGAGCGCGCGAGCGUGAGCCAAUCCCAAAAACCGCGUCUCAGUUCAGAUCGCAGGCUGCAACUCGCCUGCGUGAAGGCGGAAUCGCUAGUAAUCGCAGAUCAGCAUGCUGCGGUGAAUACGUUCCCGGGCCUUGUACACACCGCCCGUCACACCAUGGGAGCUGGCCAUGCCCGAAGUCGGAGCACCCGCCGAAGGCAGGGCUGGUGACUGGGGUGAAGUCGUAACAAGGUAGCCGUACCGGAAGGUGCGGCUGGAUCACCUCCUUU
rnacentral:rRNA from 1 species